UAAGUACUCCCUCCGUUUAAAAAUACUCGUUUGAGGAAUGGAUGUAUCUAGAUGUAUUUUAAUUUUAGAUACAUCUAUUUCUAUUAUUUUUGCGACAAAUAAUUCCGGACGGAGAAAGUAUUAU
rnacentral:pre_miRNA from 2 species